UACGUAGGCAGCAAGCGUUGUUCGGAAUUACUGGGCGUAAAGAGUGUGUAGGCGGUGCUCUAAGUUUGGUGUGAAAUCUCCCGGCUCAACUGGGAGGGUGCGCCGAAAACUGGAAUGCUUGAACGUGGGAGAGGAAAGCGGAAUUCCUGGUGUAGCGGUGAAAUGCGUAGAUAUCAGGAGGAACACCUGCGAUGUAGACGGCUUUCUGGACCAUUGUUGACGCUGAGACACGAAAGCGUGGGGAGCAAACGGG
rnacentral:rRNA from 1 species